AGAGAUACUGCUUUUUCCACAUUGGAAAAUGGCAUGGCUAGUAGCAAUGGCUUCUACACGACAAGCUAUCAGUCUGUUUAUACCAUGGGGCAAUGUGAAGGGGAUGUUGGCUCCGCUGAUUGUGCUGAUUGUGUGAAAAAUGCUGUUCAAAAAGCUCAGGUGGAAUGUGGAAGCUCCGUCUCUGGCCAAAUCUUCCUGCACAAAUGUUUUAUUGGUUAUAGUAAUUCUCCAAAUGGGGUCCCUAGAACAUCACCGUCGUCUUCAGAUUGGUCCCCUUCUUCAUCUUCAGGGUCAGGGCAAAAUGUGGGGAAGACAGUGGCUAUAAUACUAGGAGGGGUAGCUGGAGUGGGGUUUAUACUCAUAUGCGUGCUGUUUGCAAGGAAUCUAAUGAAGAAACAUGACGAUUAUUGAAGGGGUCAGACUUGUUUGCUAUGACCGGCAACGCUUUCCUGAGGUGGAUUAUUUUUUUCGAUUCUCUUCUUGAAAGGAAAAUAGAAAUCAAAGGAUUUUGUGUCUGUAAUUCUUGGUUUUUCUUAGUUAAACAGGGAUAUGA
rnacentral:misc_RNA from 1 species